rnacentral:rRNA from 1 species
AAUGCGUAGAGAUCUGGAGGAAUACCGGUGGCGAAGGCGGCCCCCUGGACGAAGACUGACGCUCAGGUGCGAAAGCGUGGGGAGCAAACAGGAUUAGAUACCCUGGUAGUCCACGCCGUAAACGAUGUCGACUUGGAGGUUGUGCCCUUGAGGCGUGGCUUCCGGAGCUAACGCGUUAAGUCGACCGCCUGGGGAGUACGGCCGCAAGGUUAAAACUCAAAUGAAUUGACGGGGGCCCGCACAAGCGGUGGAGCAUGUGGUUUAAUUCGAUGCAACGCGAAGAACCUUACCUGGUCUUGACAUCCACAGAACUUUCCAGAGAUGGAUUGGUGCCUUCGGGAACUGUGAGACAGGUGCUGCAUGGCUGUCGUCAGCUCGUGUUGUGAAAUGUUGGGUUAAGUCCCGCAACGAGCGCAACCCUUAUCCUUUGUUGCCAGCGGUCCGGCCGGGAACUC